GUUUCUUUUUCGUAAAAAAUAUUUUUGUAGUCCAGGAGCUGUAAAUGUUUAGCUUAUUAUCUGAUAUAUGCAUGCAUGAAGAGAUGCCAUAAAGAUAAAUGUUUGAUUCUUAAAAAUAAAACAAGAUCAAUAAAACCUGAUGUGACCAGUCAAGGAAUUGGUAUGAGUUGUUCUGGACCUGCAGAGACAUACUGUCUGAUCACGUCUGUACCAGCCACAUCUCAGCCCAUAUCUGUAGGUGUUUUGGUUAAUAAACAACAGAAACAGGGAAAUCCGGAGGAAAAUGAGAAUGUUUAUCACCUGUACUCCACAAUCCCUGACAAACCAGUUCACUACAAAACAGAAGAUCACAUGUACAGUUUGGUGAACAUGCACUGAUGAAUCUCUGGUUUCAUCAUGUACAGCCAUUAAAGUAUCUUUACUUGCAGAC
rnacentral:lncRNA from 1 species